UGGAGCUGAGACCAGUCGAAGAUACCAGCUGGCUGCAACUGUUUAUUAAAAACACAGCACUGUGCAAACACGAAAGUGGACGUAUACGGUGUGACGCCUGCCCGGUGCCGGAAGGUUAAUUGAUGGGGUUAUCCGUAAGGAGAAGCUCUUGAUCGAAGCCCCGGUAAACGGCGGCCGUAACUAUAACGGUCCUAAGGUAGCGAAAUUCCUUGUCGGGUAAGUUCCGACCUGCACGAAUGGCGUAAUGAUGGCCAGGCUGUCUCCACCCGAGACUCAGUGAAAUUGAACUCGCUGUGAAGAUGCAGUGUACCCGCGGCAAGACGGAAAGACCCCGUGAACCUUUACUAUAGCUUGACACUGAACAUUGAGCCUUGAUGUGUAGGAUAGGUGGGAGGCUUUGAAGCGUGGACGCCAGUCUGCGUGGAGCCAACCUUGAAAUACCACCCUUUAAUGUUUGAUGUUCUAACGUUGGCCCCUUACCGGGGUUGCGGACAGUGUCUGGUGGGUAGUUUGACUGGGGCGGUCUCCUCCCAAAGCGUAACGGAGGAGCACGAAGGUUAGCUAAUCCUGGUCGGACAUCAGGAGGUUAGUGCAAUGGCAUAAGCUAGCUUGACUGCGAGCGUGACGGCGCGAGCAGGUGCGAAAGCAGGUCAUAGUGAUCCGGUGGUUCUGAAUGGAAGGGCCAUCGCUCAACGGAUAAAAGGUACUCCGGGGAUAACAGGCUGAUACCGCCCAAGAGUUCAUAUCGACGGCGGUGUUUGGCACCUCGAUGUCGGCUCAUCACAUCCUGGGGCUGAAGUAGGUCCCAAGGGUAUGGCUGUUCGCCAUUUAAAGUGGUACGCGAGCUGGGUUUAGAACGUCGUGAGACAGUUCGGUCCCUAUCUGCCGUGGGCGCUGGAGAAUUGAGGGGGGCUGCUCCUAGUACGAGAGGACCGGAGUGGACGCAUCACUGGUGUUCGGGUUGUCAUGCCAAUGGCACUGCCCGGUAGCUAAAUGCGGAAGAGAUAAGUGCUGAAAGCAUCUAAGCACGAAACUUGCCCCGAGAUGAGUUCUCCCUGAGACUUUAAGUCUCCUGAAGGAACGUUAAAGACGAUGACGUUGAUAGGCCGGGUGUGUAAGCGCAGCGAUGCGUUGAGCUAACCGGUACUAAUGAACCGUGAGGCUUAACCUUACAACGCCGAAG
rnacentral:rRNA from 1 species